CAGGGACACAACCACAGGCACAGUGUCCCCUCCAUGUCACCCCUGACCCCGCGGGUGUCCCCAUGUCACUGACCAUGGCGGUGACCCCUGACCCCGCGGGUGUCCCCAUGUCACUGACCAUGGCGGUGACCUCUGACCCGCGGGGUGUCCCCAUGUCACUGACCAUGGCGGUGACCUCUGACCCCGCGGGGUGUCCCCUCGCCGCCAUCUUGGCCGCCAGGUGCCGCGCCCCGUACAGGGAGUCGGUGGCGCUCCAGUCCCCAAACGCCUCCUCCCC